rnacentral:rRNA from 1 species
ACUACGGGUGGCAGCAGUGGGGAAUAUUGCACAAUGGGGGAAACCCUGAUGCAGCGACGCCGCGUGAGUGAAGAAGUAAUUCGUUAUGUAAAGCUCUAUCAGCAGGGAAGAAAAUGACGGUACCUGAGUAAGAAGCCACGGCUAACAACGUGCCAGCAGCCGCGGUAAUACGUAGGGGGCAAGCGUUAUCCGGAUUUACUGGGUGUAAAGGGAGCGUAGACGGCAGUGAAAGUCUGGAGUGAAAGGCGGGGGCUCAACCCCCGGACUGCUCUGUAAAAUGUACGGAGGGAUUGCAGGAGAGGUAAGUGGAAUUCCGAGUGUAGCGGUGAAAUGCGUAGCUAUUAGGCGGAACACCAGUGGCGAAGGCGGCUUACUGGACUGUAACUGACGUUGAGGCUCGAAAGCGUGGGGAGCAAACAGGAUUAGAUACCCCAGUAGUC